UCUGUAUCCAUGUAUGUUUUUACCAGUAGCUGCUGCAUUUCCCACCCUAGGCUUAUACUCGAGUCAAUACGGUUUCCCAUUUUUUGGGGGGUAAAAUUAGGUGCCUCGGCUUAUAUUCGGGUUGGCUUAUACUCGAGUAUAUACGGUACAUAGCUUUUUGAUUAUAUUUAAACCAAAUGAUGAGGUAUUAUAAUAACGGUAGUGGCUGUACACAUAAUGUAAUAUCAUUAUCACAACUGAAGUAACAUAAUAUGGGAGACUUUAUAGGAAUUGACAUUACUACAGUAUAAAACGUGGAGACGAUUCCUACCAUGCACAAAAUAGCCACCAUUCGCAUGAUGUGAUGUGUAAUAAUAAAUGAGGCAAUUGUGACUCUAGUUUACAGACUGGCACACCAUAUAUAUACAU